ensembl:lncRNA
GGCAAAGCAUUACACGCCUAUGGAUUGUUGAGAGAGUACCUGUCUAGCUGCAGCGGAGCAGUGUGUGUUUGGGGCGGGGGGACGACCGUGAACUUGGAGGUGCCUGCCUCCUAAGCGUAUGGUGGCAGAGAAGAGGCUUCCUCACGUCUUUUGUGUUUCAUUCCACAGGGACAGAAUUUCUGUCCCGUAGCCAAUGGUUGAUGUCCCUGUGUAUUUAACGUUAGUGUGGAGUGUUGCUCUGUGUCAGGCUCUGUUCUGGGAGCUGAGAAGAAGCUAAGCCUGUUGACUACAGACUCUGGAUGCUGGUGCCUCCUUGGUAAGAUCCUGUAGGUCUGCACGAUGAGCUGGGUGCCUUUCUUGAGCAUGACAGUGUGGGUGGGCCUGGACAUGACGCUUGGAGCUAAGGUUCCGUACACAUGUCGCAUCAGGAUGAACACAGAGAAGAGAGAUAAAAUGUAUAUAAACACACCACACAUUUGUGGAAGUGCAAGAUUUUCUCUGGCUGGGCAAUCAGGAAAUGCUUCCUGGAUUGAGGAAGCUUUGGCCAGACGUUGAAAGAAGAGUGGAGGGUCUGAGUCUGAGGAAAUGUGAGCAGAGGCAGGGAAAGGGAUGGGAAGUACCCGUGAACAGAGUGACGGUGACUAAUUUCUGGUUGCUGGGCAACAGUGUGUGUAGACGUGACUAACGGGAAGAGAAGCAGCAAAGGUCUGCUGAGGCCAGACCCAGGAGGGCUGCAAGGCUUCUGACUAAAGGAUAUAAACUGAACACCGCGUCACGAGAGCCGUUGAAGAAUUUCAGUCGGGGGGUGACAGUAGCAUCAUCUGGUGUCAGCGUGCGGGGUGGCCUGGGCAGUGAGAAAACCAGAGCCGGGGAAGGCCAGUGGAGCUGUCGUGAGAGGGUCUAGGAAGCAGGAGCAGAGGGCCUGCGUGAGGGGGCGACUGGAAUGGAGCAGACCGCCUGGAGGAGAGGGGGCGGCCGAUGGGCAGGAGGAAGGAAGCAACAUUCCUCCACAUCUUUCCACUCAGGUGCCAUUUGUUACUUCCGCGCCAUUUGCAGGCAUUUCCCGACGUUAUCUCGUGCGGUCUUAUCCUAAUCCUGUGAGGCUGGUAAUUUUGUCCUUACUUCAGAGAUGAGGAAACGAAGGCUCAAAGAAAGAUUUGUCUGAAAUUAGGACACAGCUGAUGGGCGUCGAGCAGCACAUCCCAGGCUAGGGGUUGAAUCAGAGCUGAAGACGCCAGGCUAUGCCACAGCCAUAGCAACACAGGAUCCAAGCCAUGUCUGCAACCUACACCACAGCUCAGGCAACGCCGCAUCCUUAACCCUCUGAGCAAGGCCAGGGAUUGAACCUGAGUCCUUAUGGAUGCUGGUCAGGUUCAUUAACCACUGAGCCACGAUGGGAACUCCUGAAUUUCUUGCCUUUAACCUGAUCUCAGAAAGUGAAGUUGCUGUACAUUUUGAGAGGUUUUUCCUGCAGCAAAGGAAAACUGAGCACCAUCUAUUCGGAAAGGAGAGUGAUGGCUAAUUUUCUGUGUCACCUUAGCUAGAGCACAGUACCUAGAUAUUUGGUGAAACACCAGUCUAAAAAGUCUAAAAAUACCUGUGAAGGUGUUUUUAACUGAGAUUAAAUUUAAAUCAGUAGAUGUUGAGUAAAACAAAUUAUUCUCCAUAGUGUAUGUGGGCCUCAUCCAAUCUGUUGAUGUCCUUCAGAAAAAAAGAUUGUUGUCCCCCCAGGAAGAAGGAAUUCUGCCUCCAGAUGGCCUUCUGUCUGGAGACCACAGUGUCAUCUUUUCCUGGGUCACUAGCCUGCCCCAUAGUCACCUAAGUCAAUUCCUUGAAAUUCAACCUGCCAGUCUGUCUCUGCCUUUGUCUUUCUCUCUGCACACUCACACAUACCACAUCUUAUUCGCUGUCUUUCUCUGGAAAACCCUGACUCAUAUAGACAGGAAGAUACAGAUGUUGUGAAUUGUCCUGCUGCUGCUGAUAUUAGCCAAAAACUGCAUCCGGCCUCUCUAGGCAUUCUUGGUGUAGAUGUAUAUUGCUUGUUGUGUGGACAAGAAAGUGAAUUGUAGAAGGGAUGUGGUGCUCCCACUGUGAUGGAGAGAGCGAAUAAGAGAGCAAGGAGAGAACGCUGUUUGCCCAGGCAUGGUUCAGUUGCUCCCUUGCUCUUUGGCGCUCAUAUUCUCAUCAGCAGGAUAAUAAAGUUACUAGGUUGGCCGUGCAUAAUUAUUGCUCACAUUUAUGGAUGAUUUUCUAUAGGUCGGGUCUAGCUUAGUUGCUUUACAGAUGUUCAUGAUUUUAAUUCUUAGAACUACCCAUUGAGAUAGGGACUACCAUUGCCCCAAGUCCCAGAGAGCUUCUCGUAAGUAGAAACUAGAUAUUGUAUUCAGUACAAUUUAUACAAGCUUAUUUUUCCCUCUUAGAAAUAGUUAAGUUAUAAUGAUGAUGACCAAAAGAAUUACUGUCAAUGGAAGAAGCCUAAGAAUUUAUAUCCAGCUCAAGGCCUUGCAAGAAUGCAGAUUCAUUCAGUAAAAACUCAAUUAACAGCCUGCUUUAUUUCAGACUUCACUUCUUAGCUUUGGAAAGCUUCAAAGUAGGGCAGUUUACGUUUGGGAAUGACCAGUCAAAAUAGCAAGAUAGAUAUAGGUAAGAAUCUAAUGUUUUAAAAAUUUAAAUGGUAAGAGAUGGAGCAUGCAUCAAAACAGCUUGCUGGAGCUCUAAAAUUAAUAAAUACAUUUGAAAAGUGCACCCUCUCAGCCUUCUCAGACUCAGAAUUUGGGGGGUGUAGUUCCUCUUUUUGAAUCUCUUUUUUGAAUUGUUUAUGUUUUUAGUAAGGAGGAAGAAAAAGGUCUCCUUAAGAAGCCAUUAGGAAUUAAAAUUAAUUUCAGAAUUCAGUAUUGUUUAGAAUAUGUUGAAGACUGAUUUGAAAGGGCAGUGCCCGGUUUGAUCUUCCCUGGAAAAGAGGGACAGGCGUGGUCCCAGUCAGCCCAUCUUUGCCAUGGUGGGAAAAUGGCGUUGCUUUCAUUGUCGUUCUUUCAUUCCCUUCCUUGCCAAGCCCAGUGGCUUCUGUUACAACAUGUGGCAACUUCUCCCUUGGAGACUAACUCAGUCCAUGUUGCCAUAAUAUUUAAGGCCAGCUACAAAGGCAUAUCUUCCCCUAAACCCAUGCCAAAUCUAAAUCAAACUGUCUUCUCCUCCUUGGCCAUUUCAAGAGAUCCAGCUCCUGUUUGAAAAUCACGAGAAAUGCACAGGUCCCUUUUUGUUUCCUUGCCUGUUCCAACAGGUAAAUAAACAAGGCACAUCAUGCCUAGUGCUGCUUUGAUCUUGGUUGCUUCCUUCUAAAAUAGAUUCUGGGGCGUUCCUGUUACGACACAGCAGAAACAAAUCCGACUAGAAUCCAUGAGGUUGUGGGUUCGAUCCUUGUCCUUACCCAGUGAGUUAAGGAUUUGGUGUUGCUCUGAGCUGUGGUAUAGAUCACAGAUGCGGCCUGGAUCCCAUGUUGCUGUGGCUAUGGUGUAGGCUGGCAGCUGUAGCUCCAACUGACCCCACCCUGGGCACUUCCAUAUGGUGCGGGUGUGGCCCUAAAAAAAAAGCAAAAAAAAAAAAAA